AACUCUCUUGGCACCCCCCUGAGUGGGUUUCUCUGCUCGCAGGUGUGUCACGUCCUGCACGACCCAGUUCUGCCACUGCCCCCCGGGUUGUCACCUCUGCACAUGUGAAGGUCCAGGGGACAGGACGGGACAGUUUAAUUCGGAAGUGAGUGGUUAAUGUGGUAAAACUGAUGGAGAGUAGGUUUAGAUGAGAUAUAGGGAAGAAAUUGUUCCCUGGGAGGGUGGGGAGGCCCUGGCACAGGUUGCCCAGAGAAGCUGUGGCUGCCCCAUCCCUGGAAGUGUCCAAGGCCAGGUUGGACGGGGCUUGGAGCCACCUGGGCUGGUGGAAGGUGUCCCUGCCCAUGGCAGGGGGUGGGACAGGGUGAGCUUUAAGGUCUGUUCCAACCCAAACCAUUCUGGAAUUCUAUGAAAAACCACCUCCUCUCAUUUACCUCUGUGACUUCACCUGCCACAUGUGACAUCUUGCCACAGGUUAAUUCCCUUCCAGUGCCUCUGUGACAACCUCUCCCAACUUUGCAGCUGCUGUGCUGAGCUGAAGCUGAUCCCAGGACUUGGUCCAGCACUGCCCUGUAGGUGAUCUCACAACACCUCUGUUGGCUGUAGCAUCUUCCAAGCACCUGAGCCCACACACCUGGAGGGAGGUGCUGAUUUAUCGACUCCAAGAGAUGUUUUUUUCCCAAGGGGGUUGUGCCAAAGGACCCCUGGCUGGACUUACGCCUGAUUUCUUUGGAGAAAGUGCCAUCCUGUGGCUGCCUGUGAAAUCCUUGCUGCUUCUUGCUUGGAAAGCAGAGCCAGGCAAAGCCCCUUCAGGCAGUGACAGUCCCAGUGGCACAGAUGUGCUGAUCCAGGCCACUUGCCAGCCCCCCUCUUGUUAUUUUACACAAUUACAAGGUCUGGCUUAAUCCCAGGCUUUGGGAGUUGAAGAUGACAUUAAAAUAAACAAAUCAAAGCUAA